rnacentral:misc_RNA from 1 species
UCCGGAGUUUCUCCGGCAGUCCCCCAUGAGUGCUCGGCACUACCCGGUGGCAACAUAAGGCGGGGGUUGCGCUCGUUGCGGGACUUAACCCAACAUCUCACGACACGAGCUGACGACAGCCAUGCACCACCUGUACACCGACCACAAGGGGGCGCCUGUCUCCAGACGUUUCCGGUGUAUGUCAAGCCUUGGUAAGGUUCUUCGCGUUGCGUCGAAUUAAGCCACAUGCUCCGCUG